UCAAUUUGUUGUGGACAAAUAAAGUGAACAUGAGUAUCUAUUCCACCAGCAGUAACAAUUUUACCUUCACCAGAAAAGACCUCAGUACCAACUCCAACAACCAUAUUUGGAUCUACGCCAUCCAUGAUAUCAGGAUUACCUGACUUACCAAUUCCAACUAUUUUACCAUCUUUUAUGCCAAUGUCAGCUUUUACUAUUCCCCAGUAAUCUAAAAUUAAUGCAUUAGUUAUAACCAUAUCUAAAGCACCAUCAGCUCCGGUUAUACUUGAGUUUUGCCCCAUACCAUCAC
rnacentral:sRNA from 1 species